rnacentral:rRNA from 1 species
AGCAGCCGCGGUAAUUCUAGCUCCAAUAGCGUAUAUUAAAGUUGUUGCAGUUAAAAAGCUCGUAGUUGAAUUUCGGGAUUGACGUGAUGGUCAUGCCUUAAGGGGUAUGAACUGUUGCAGUUGAUUUCUCACCUUCUGGAAAAACUUGAUGUCCUUUAUUGGGUGUCUUGCGGAACCAGGACCUUUACCUUGAAAAAAUUAGAGUGUUUAAAGCAGGCAUUUUUGCUCGAAUACAUUAGCAUGGAAUAAUAGAAUAGGACGGCAUGGUUCUAUUUUGUUGGUUUCUAGGAUCACCGUAAUGAUUAAUAGGAAUAGUUGGGGGCAUUAGUAUUCAAUUGUCAGAGGUGAAAUUCUUGGAUUUAUUGAAGACUAACUACUGCGAAAGCAUUUGCCAAGGAUGUUUUCAUUAAUCAAGAACGAAAGUUAGGGGAUCGAAGACGAUCAGAUACCGUCGUAGUCUUAACCAUAAACUAUGCCGACUAGGAAUCAGACGAUGUUAAUUUUUUAAAUGUACUCGUUU